CGCCCUCUGCUGUCCACUCCGAAGAACCCAGAUCUGGAGCAUCCGGCCCAGGAACACAGCAGUUAGUUUGAUGCAGGGUUAUCAUAGUAGAGGAGAAAAAACAAAAGGAAUCCUGAGCAGGGAGGUGAUGGAAAGGGCAGGUCACACACACCGACAGACGGAAAUAUCACGUCUGGCCCCCGGCUCCUCUUCCUCCUCUUCCUCCUCUUCCUCCUCACAGCUUAGAGCGACUUUGUGACGAAUCAGGGGAACAAGAUCAAUCGACUGUGGGGAGAUCUUCACCAUGUGACUCCCUUUGAGGGGAGGAAACACUCCAAGGAGACUCAUAUGAAGUCAUCGACUGAGGCCAAUUGUGUCUGAAUGAUGCGUGUCCAUUAAAACGCAGCUGAAAGAGCUUCCUGUCCACACAAAGCCUGGGACUGACCCGGGCGGUGGCACCAAAUCCUCCAGCUUCAAAUAGAAAAUCCUCUGCAGGCCUUGGAUGCACAGAGUGCGGAGUUCUCGCAGUUUUU